rnacentral:rRNA from 1 species
UACGAAGGGGGCUAGCGUUGUUCGGAUUCACUGGGUUUAAAGGGUGUGUAGGCGGAUAUUUAAGUCAGAGGUGAAAUCUCCAGGCUCAACCUGGAAACUGCCUUUGAUACUAUUUAUCUUGAAUUUUGUUGAGGUAGGCGGAAUACAUCAUGUAGCGGUGAAAUGCUUAGAUAUGAUGUAGAACACCGAUUGCGAAGGCAGCUUACUAAACAAACAUUGACGCUGAGGCACGAAAGCGUGGGGAUCAAACAGG